CGGUCCAGACUCCUACGGGAGGCAGCAGUGGGGAAUAUUGCACAAUGGGCGCAAGCCUGAUGCAGCCAUACCGCGUGUGUGAAGAAGGCUCUAGGGUUGUAAAGCACUUUCAGUUGGGAGGAAAAGUUAGUCGUUAAUACCGGCUAGCCGUGACGUUACCAACAGAAGAAGCACCGGCUAACUCCGUGCCAGCAGCCGCGGUAAA
rnacentral:rRNA from 1 species